GCCUGGGUGGCUCAGUCGGUUGAGCAUCUGACUUCGGCUCAGGUCACGAUCUCCCAGUCAGUAAGUUGGAGCCUUGCAUUGGGCU
rnacentral:tRNA from 1 species